ACAUGGUGAUGAUAAUAAACACUUUCAGCAAACAUGCUAGUUCUGCUUCUGAGAAUUUGUGACUGAAAAAUUGUCAUAUACUCCCUCUGUCU
rfam:Hordeum vulgare subsp. vulgare, WGS project CAJW01000000 data, contig: morex_contig_109695